rnacentral:rRNA from 1 species
GAUCCUGGCUCAGGAUGAACGCUGGCGGCGUGCCUAACACAUGCAAGUCGAGCGGGAAAUAGCCAAAUGAGAUUUCGGUCAAAUGAGGGUAUGGAGAGCGGCGGACGGGUGAGUAACGCGUAGGCAACCUGCCCCGUACAGGGGGAUAGCCUCGGGAAACCGGGACUAAGACCCCAUAACACGGAGAGGACACAUGUCUUUUCCGUCAAAGAUUCAUCGGUACGGGAUGGGCCUGCGUCUGAUUAGCCAGUUGGCGGGGUAGCGGCCCACCAAAGCUACGAUCAGUAGCCGGCCUGAGAGGGUAACCGGCCACAUUGGAACUGAGACACGGUCCAAACUCCUACGGGAGGCAGCAGUGGGGAAUAUUGCACAAUGGGCGAAAGCCUGAUGCAGCAACGCCGCGUGAGCGAAGAAGGCCUUCGGGUCGUAAAGCUCUGUCCUUGGGGAAGAAAAAAAUGACGGUACCCGAGGAGGAAGCCCCGGCUAACUACGUGCCAGCAGCCGCGGUAAUACGUAGGGGGCGAGCGUUAUCCGGAAUUAUUGGGCGUAAAGAGUGCGUAGGUGGUUUUGUAAGCGCGGGGUGAAAGGCAUGGGCUUAACCGAUGUCAGCCCUGCGAACUGUGAAACUUGAGUGCGGGAGAGGAAAGCGGAAUUCCUGGUGUAGCGGUGAAAUGCGUAGAUAUCAGGAGGAACACCGGUGGCGAAGGCGGCUUUCUGGACCGUAACUGACACUGAGGCACGAAAGCGUGGGGAGCAAACAGGAUUAGAUACCCUGGUAGUCCACGCCGUAAACGAUGAGCACCAGGUGUCGGGGCCGUAAGGCUUCGGUGCCGCAGUUAACGCAUUAGUGCUCCGCCUGGGGAGUACGCA